rnacentral:rRNA from 1 species
UGGGAAAUUUUGGACAAUGGGCGCAAGCCUGAUCCAGCCAUGCCGCGUGAGUGAAGAAGGCCUUCGGGUUGUAAAGCUCUUUCGGCGGGGACGAAAAGGGCCGUGUUAACACCAUGGAUCCAUGACGGUACCCGCAGAAGAAGCACCGGCUAACUACGUGCCAGCAGCCGCGGUAAUACGUAGGGUGCAGGCGUUAAUCGGAAUUACUGGGCGUAAAGCGUGCGCAGGCGGUCUUUUAAGUCAGAUGUGGAAUCCCCGGGCUUAACCUGGGAACUGCGUUUGAAACUGGAAGGCUAGAGUGUGGCAGAGGGGGGUGGAAUUCCACGUGUAGCAGUGAAAUGCGUAGAGAUGUGGAGGAACACCGAUGGCGAAGGCAGCCCCCUGGGCUAACACUGACGCUCAUGCACGAAAGCGUGGGGAGCAAACAGGAUUAGAUACCCUGGUAGUCCACGCCCUAAACUAUGUCAACUGGUUGUCGGGGAAGCAAUUCCUUGGUAACGAAGCUAACGCGUGAAGUUGACCGCCUGGGGAGUACGGCCGCAAGGUUAA